rnacentral:lncRNA from 1 species
GCAUACACACCGCAGGAAAAGAGGGAAAAACAAACCUUUGGAAGGAAAAGUCAGAGCAGACAGGUUAAGCCGCUUUGAAAAAGGAUCUCUGGACUCGUCUACGGGAGGGAUCUUUGCACAAUGAUGUAGCCAUGACAUCAGUGUAUCUGCUGCAGUGUAGAUAUGCUGGUAUGAAGUGGGGCGUAUUCCAGUUUGAAGUUGCACCCGUGAACACCCUGCUUUACACCCAUGGAGCACAUCCCCACUGAGUAUUUGCAGAAGUGUAGCUACGUAGCUGCAAAGAUCCCUAACACAGACAAGCUGUCAGUAACUAUGGGGAAGGAAAGGCCCCUACUUCGGAUCAACUCAUUAUCCCGAAUAAACGAUGUGUCAUUCCCAUUAUUUAUGUUUCACUGCAGCCAAAGUAUCUGGACCUCGUUUUGGAGACUCAACAGCUGUAACAACACCUGGAGGAUACUUGGCAGCUGCAAGUCGCAGAUGCUGAGUUCGGUAAUGUACUUUCCUGUACAAGCAUCUGAGUGUUUUGUUGGCUGCUUGAAAGUUUUCACUGGUGUCUGA